rnacentral:rRNA from 1 species
AUUGAACGCUGGCGGCAGGCCUAACACAUGCAAGUCGAGCGGAGCGGCGGACGGGUGAGUAAUGCCUAGGAAUCUGCCUGGUAGUGGGGGAUAACGUCCGGAAACGGGCGCUAAUACCGCAUACUAUCAGAUGAGCCUAGGUGGGAUUAGCUAGUUGGUGGGGUAAAGGCCUACCAAGGCGACGAUGCUUAACUGGUCUGAGAGGAUGAUCAGCCACACUGGAACUGAGACACGGUCCAGACUCCUACGGGAGGCAGCAGUGGGGAAUAUUGCACAAUGGGGGAAACCCUGAUGCAGCCAGGCCGCGUGUGUGAAGAAGGCCUUCGGGUUGUAAAGCACUUUCAGCGAGGAGGCGGUACUCGAAGAAGAAGCACCGGCUAACUCCGUGCCAGCAGCCGCGGUAAUAC